rnacentral:tRNA from 1 species
GGAUAAAGAUAAUUACAAUUUCUAAUCAAGACAGUUUAGAGCAGAAUUGAAUUUUGUUAUUUCAUAAACACUAUAAAUCAUUUUUGCAGGUAAGACGAAAAUAUAGACAGGCGCUGCUGAGAUUCGAACUCAGGAUCUCCUGUUUACUAGACAGGCGCUUUAACCAACUAAGCCACAGCACCACAUGGUUCAUGGAAGUUCUACGUUCAAGACAUCAGAGACUUCUACAGUUCUGGGAUCUUCAUAAUUAUAAAGCGCCAACAAAUUCUGCAGCAACGUACAAUAGGAGGACUAACAGAAAAACAGACAAGUUGGACACACAGGAACAGAGUGGUUGAGGUCUCUGCUCAAUGAGCUUACAUGCGAGGGAGUGGGGUAUAGUGAUACAAAAGGUAAGGGUAGAGUAGAAAACUAGGUUGCUAGAAAAAUAUUCACUUAGUGGGUGUUUUUGAUUUUAUUUUUAAUGACAGUUGUAGGAGAGGAAUCAGGGUGCAGCGAAGGAAAACUGUUGACAAGUUUAAUUGAUAUGUUUUCAUGAAGAAGUAAAUUUUCAAUGAUUUUUUGAAGGAGUGGAGACUGGGUGAAAGUCUAAUGGAGAAGGUAAGGGAAUGUUGAAGCCCUAGAGAAGGUGAGCAUUAAAGUUGGUAGUACAAACUGAGGAUAGACGUGGGUCUUUGGCUGAGCAUAGGGGCCUAGACAGAACAUACUUGUGUAUUAGUGAGGAUAGGUAGGUUGGAGCAGCAUUAUGUAAGAUUUAUAAGCAAGAACCAGAAUUUUAAAUUGAGCCCUGUAUCUUACAGGAAGUCAAUGUAGGGACUGACAGAGGGUGGAGGCAUGGGAAAUGUGGGCAGACAGGAAGAUGAGCCUCGCCACCAAAUUUAUUUUAGACUGUAAUAGGGCAAGUUGGGAACAUGUAAGCAGGGCUGGUGCAAGGAUUUCUGCCACCCUAAGCAAAGAUCCAUUUUGCCGCCCCCUCAUGUUACUCACUCACUGACAGACACACACUGGUAGACACACACACUGACAGACAUACACUCACUCACUGACACACACAAACUCAGUGACAGACAUACACUCACUCACUGACAGACACACAUGCUUACUGACAGACAUACACUCACUGACAGACACACACACUUACUGACAAACACACACACACACACACAGACACUCACUGACAUACUAUACUUACUCACUGACAGACACACACACACGGACACUCACUGACAGACAGACAAACAUUCACUCACUGACAGGCACACACAAACACACACACUAACUGACAUACAUACGCUCACUCAUUGACAGACAGACAGACAGACACACAGACACUCACUGACAUACAUACACUCGCUCACUGAUAGACACACACACAUACACUCACUGACAGACAUACACUCACUUACUGACAGACACACACACACACACACACACACAGACACUUACUGACAGACAUACACUCACUCACUGACACACACACACAUAAACAGAAACUUACUGACAUAGGUACAUACACUCACUCACUGACAGAUAGACACACACACACAGACACUCACUGACAUACAUAAACUCAAUUACUGACAAACACACACACAGGCAGACACACACACACUGACAGUCAAAUACUUACACAAAGGCAGACACUAAGUGACAUAUAUAGACUCAAUCACUGACAGACAUUCACUGACAGACACACACACACACACUCACUGACAGUCAAACAUUCACCUCCCUGGGGUCCUGUGUGGGGCAGCUUCUCACUCCUCCCACCCGCUGUUUAGAAUGCCGGGGCCGGAAUUACAUCCCUGAAUCCCUGGUGUUGCGGCCCCAGACAGAGGGAGGCAUCCCACCAGGAAACAUACUGGUGGGCGCCCCCAGCAGGCUGGUGCCCUAGGCGAAUGCCUAGUUCGCCUAACAGUGGUGCCGGCCCUGCAUGUAAGACCACUGAGAAGUGGAUUGCAGUAGUCAAGGUGAGAGAAGGCAUUGGCAUGGAUCAGCACCAUCUCUGAGGGAUUCAAAAACAUAUUAUAACAGUCCUGAAUUUGGCGGGACAGUCCUGAUUUCACAUCCUGUUCUGCCUUAGUUUCCUGGUGUCUCGUUUUUAAAGGACACCAGGAAACCAUCCCCAACAAUCAUAGUAUGAGCACAUGAUUAGAGGAACUUGUGGUAUAUUUGGGGCGCAUGAUUAAACAAUGUCAGAUUAGUCCAAACAGGGCCCAUUCCAAAUAACAGACCAAGAGGGACUCUGGCAUUCAACUUACCAACAGGCCAGGUCUAUAUGUCAUAAUCCUCCACCCCCAAAAAGGGGCAGAUAAAGUGACCUUAAUUAAUUUAUUAACUGUACACUGCAGGCAUAAAAGACAUCUAAAAGCAUAUAUUUAAUUUUGACAACUGCAUAAGUAUAUAUGCUCAUAUUUCUACUUGUAAUGUAUUGUGUUUGUAUUUAGACAGCUGCCUACAAGCAUUAUACUCACAGGUUCAUACAGGGUUAAAAAUAAUGUUGGGGGGGUGGAGCCUGACUGCUGAACCGACUGGUCGCAUGCUGUCCGAGCUCCAGGCCUGAGACCCUAACACUGAUCUAAAAGCUGGUAAUAGCAGUUGUGGCAUUGCUUGCCUCUUUGUAUUUUUCUUGCACGAAAAAAUAAAGAAUUAAAAAAAAAUGUUAGAGGUUGUUAGGAUAAAUUGGGGGUUAAGGUUUUAGAGAGAUUAAAGCCAGAGUUAGUGAGUUAGGAAUAGGAGGAUUACAUUUGAUUGAGAGGGCGUAUAGUUGUGGUAUAAGGGAUGUUUAGAAUUAUUGGGUUUAGGAUUAGCGAAGGGUUACCAUAGUGUCAU